AGAUUAUGGUUGGGACACUUGAGAAGGAGGCUCUUAAAGUCUUUCCAAGCUUCAGAGAAUAAAUCGCCAUCCUUUUGUUGGAAGUAUUUGAUUUCCCUUUUGAGUUU